rnacentral:rRNA from 1 species
GACGAACGCUGGCGGCGUGCUUAACACAUGCAAGUCGAACGGAAAGGCCCUUCGGGGUCCUCGAGUGGCGAACGGGUGAGUAACACGUGGGUGAUCUGCCCUGCACUUUGGGAUAAGCCUGGGAAACUGGGUCUAAUACCGAAUAGGACCACGCGCUUCAUGGUGUGUGGUGGAAAGCUUUUGCGGUGUGGGAUGGGCCCGCGGCCUAUCAGCUUGUUGGUGGGGUAAUGGCCUACCAAGGCGACGACGGGUAGCCGGCCUGAGAGGGUGACCGGCCACACUGGGACUAAGAUACGGCCCAGACUCCUACGGGAGGCAGCAGUGGGGAAUAUUGCACAAUGGGCGCAAGCCUGAUGCAGCGACGCCGCGUGAGGGAUGACGGCCUUCGGGUUGUAAACCUCUUUCAAUAGGGACGAAGCGCAAGUGACGGUACCUAUAGAAGAAGCACCGGCCAACUACGUG